AUUGAACGCUGGCGGCAUGCUUUGCACAUGCAAGUCGAACGGCAGCGCGGGCUUCGGCCUGGCGGCGAGUGGCGAACGGGUGAGUAAUACAUCGGAACGUGCCCGGUAGUGGGGGAUAGCUCGGCGAAAGCCGGAUUAAUACCGCAUACGACCUGAGGGUGAAAGCGGGGGAUCUUCGGACCUCGCGCUAUUGGAGCGGCCGAUGGCAGAUUAGCUAGUUGGUGGGGUAAAGGCCUACCAAGGCGACGAUCUGUAGCUGGUCUGAGAGGACGACCAGCCACACUGGGACUGAGACACGGCCCAGACUCCUACGGGAGGCAGCAGUGGGGAAUUUUGGACAAUGGACGAAAGCCUGAUCCAGCAAUGCCGCGUGUGUGAUGAAGGCCUUCGGGUUGUAAAGCACUUUUGGCGGGAACGAAAAGGACUGUGCCAAUACCACGGUUCGAUGACGGUACCCGCAGAAUAAGCACCGGCUAACUACGUG
rnacentral:rRNA from 1 species